rnacentral:rRNA from 1 species
GGACCUACGGGAGGCAGCAGUGGGGAAUCUUCCGCAAUGGGCGAAAGCCUGACGGAGCAACGCCGCGUGAUCGAAUGAAGGCCUUCGGGUUGUAAAGAUCUGUUGACAGGGACGAAUAAGCAAUGCGAAUAGUUUUGUGUAUGACGGUACCUGUUUAGAAAGCUCCGGCUAACUACGUGCCAGCAGCCGCGGUAAUACGUAGGGAGCAAGCGUUGUCCGGAAUUACCGGGCGUAAAGGGCGCGUAGGUGGGCGCGUAAGUCAGAGGUGAAAACUCCGGGCGCAACCUGGGGA